rnacentral:tRNA from 1 species
GGAGUUGUAGCUCAGCUGGUCAGAGCGUUCGCCUCACACGCGAGAGGUCAUGGGUUCGAGCCCCCUCAACUCCACCA